rnacentral:rRNA from 1 species
UACAGAGGGGGCAAGCGUUGUUCGGAAUUACUGGGCGUAAAGGGCGCGUAGGCGGCCUUCUAAGUCGAACGUGAAAUCCCCGGGCUCAACUCGGGAACUGCGUCCGAUACUGGAAGGCUUGAAUCCGGGAGAGGGAUGCGGAAUUCCAGGUGUAGCGGUGAAAUGCGUAGAUAUCUGGAGGAACACCGGUGGCGAAGGCGGCAUCCUGGACCGGUAUUGACGCUGAGGCGCGAAAGCCAGGGGAGCAAACGGG